UAUCACUGACAUUCCCUACCCUAAUACUCCCUGCAGGAGAUGCGGGCACCCAAAUGAAAACUGGUUUUGUUUAUGCUGUAAGACUGUCCUUUGUGGUCGUUAUGACAACAUGCACAUGAUUCAACAUUACGAGCAGACAAAUCAUUCUCUUGUAAUCAGCUGCAGCAAUCUAUUAGUUUGGUGUUACUCAUGCCAUUC